rnacentral:rRNA from 1 species
GACAGAGGUCCCGAGCGUUAGGCGGAAUCACUGGGCUUAAAGCGUGUGUAGGCGGAUUGGUAAGUACCUUGUGAAAUCCCACGGCUUAACCGUGGAACUGCUUGGUAUACUGCUUAUCUUGGGCCACUUAGGGGCUACCGGAACAAACGUUGGAGCGGUGAAAUGCGUAGAUAUCGUUUGGAACGCCAAUGGUGAAAACAGGUAGCUGGGAGUGUGCCGACGCUGAGACACGAAAGCCAGGGGAGCGAACGGG